GGGGUUGUGCUCAGUGGUACAGUGCUUGCCUAGCACAUGCAAGGGCCUGGGUUCAAUCCUCAGCACCACA
rnacentral:tRNA from 1 species